GCUGGGCAUGGUGGUGCAUGCCUGUAAUUCCAGGAACUCGGGCAGCUGAGGCAGGAGGAUGAUGAGUUCAAAGCCAGCCUCAG
rnacentral:sRNA from 1 species